AGCAGCCGCGGUAAUUCCAGCUCCAAUAGCGUAUAUUAAAGUUGUUGCAGUUAAAAAGCUCGUAGUUGAAUUUCGGGGUUAGUAGGUUGGUCAUGCCUCUGGUAUGCACUGGCCUCACUGAUUCCUCCUUCCUGAUGAGCCGUAAUGCCAUUAAUUUGGUGUUGCGGGGAAUUUGGACUGUUACUUUGAAAAAAUUAGAGUGUUUAAAGCAAGCUAACGCUUGAAUACAUUAGCAUGGAAUAAUGAAAUAGGACGUUCGAUCCUAUUUUGUUGGUUUCUAGGAUUGACGUAAUGAUUAAUAGGGAUAGUUGGGGGCAUUAGUAUUCAAUUGUCAGAGGUGAAAUUCUUGGAUUUAUUGAAGACUAACUACUGCGAAAGCAUUUUACCAAGGAUGUUUUCAUUAAUCAAGAACGAAAGUUAGGGGAUCGAAGACGAUCAGAUACCGUCGUAGUCUUAACCAUAAACUAUGCCGACUAGGGAUCGGAUGAUGUUAAUUUUUUUAAUGACUCAUUCGGCGCCU
rnacentral:rRNA from 1 species